AUACGUAGGUGGCAAGCGUUGUCCGGAAUUAUUGGGCGUAAAGGGCUCGCAGGCGGUUUCUUAAGUCUGAUGUGAAAGCCCCCGGCUCAACCGGGGAGGGUCAUUGGAAACUGGGGAACUUGAGUGCAGAAGAGGAGAGUGGAAUUCCACGUGUAGCGGUGAAAUGCGUAGAGAUGUGGAGGAACACCAGUGGCGAAGGCGACUCUCUGGUCUGUAACUGACGCUGAGGAGCGAAAGCGUGGGGAGCGAACAGGAUUAGAUACCCUGGUAGUCCACGCCGUAAACGAUGAGUGCUAAGUGUUAGGGGGUUUCCGCCCCUUAGUGCUGCAGCUAACGCAUUAAGCACUCCGCCUGGGGAGUACGGUCGCAAGACUGAAACUCAAAGGAAUUGACGGGGGCCCGCACAAGCGGUGGAGCAUGUGGUUUAAUUCGAAGCAACGCGAAGAACCUUACCAGGUCUUGACAUCCUCUGACAAUCCUAGAGAUAGGACGUCCCCUUCGGGGGCAGAGUGACAGGUGGUGCAUGGUUGUCGUCAGCUCGUGUCGUGAGAUGUUGGGUUAAGUCCCGCAACGAGCGCAACCCUUGAUCUUAGUUGCCAGCAUUCAGUUGGGCACUUUAAGGUGACUGCCGGUGACAAACCGGAGGAAGGUGGGGAUGACGUCAAAUCAUCAUGCCCCUUAUGACCUGGGCUACACACGUGCUACAAUGGACAGAACAAAGGGCAGCGAAACCGCGAGGUUAAGCCAAUCCCACAAAUCUGUUCUCAGUUCGGAUCGCAGUCUGCAACUCGACUGCGUGAAGCUGGAAUCGCUAGUAAUCGCGGAUCAGCAUGCCGCGGU
rnacentral:rRNA from 1 species